CCUUUGGAGAGUUAUAUCAAACUGAAGUAGCGUUUAGCAAAACAAGACUCGAUGAACAAGGAA
rnacentral:ncRNA from 1 species